AACCUGGUUGAUCCUGCCAGUAGUCAUAUGCUUGUCUCAAAGAUUAAGCCAUGCAUGUGUAAGCACACACUGUUUUAAAAGUGAAGCCGCGAAUGGCUCAUUACAACAGCCACAGUUUAUUAGAACUUACAAUCAUGGAUAACUGUGGUAAUUCUAGAGCUAAUACACGCACAAAAACUUCAACUGAAUUGGUUGAAGUGCUUUUAUUAGAACAAAAACCGAACGGCGUUUGACGAAUGUUGAACGUCGAAACUGUUUGGUGAAUCUGAAUAACUAUUUCUGAUCGCAUGGUCUAGCACCGGCGACAUCACUUUCAAGUGUCUGCCUUAUCAACCUUCGAUGGUAGUCUAUGCGACUACCAUGGUGAUAACGGGUAACGGAGAAUCAGGGUUCGACUCCGGAGAGGGAGCCUGAGAAACGGCUACCACAUCCAAGGAAGGCAGCAGGCGCGCAAAUUACCCACUCCCAGCUUGGGGAGGUAGUGACGAAAAAUAACGAGACGAUUCUCGUUUGAGAAACGUUAUCGAAAUGAGUACGCCUUACACACGCUAACGAGUAGCAAUUGGAGGGCAAGUCUGGUGCCAGCAGCCGCGGUAAUUCCAGCUCCAAUAGCGUAUAUUAAAGUUGCUGCGGUUAAAACGCUCGUAGUUGAAUUGUGGUCUUAGACAACAGUCCCCCCACAAAGGUGUGGCACGGUUGCUCGAGAUCUUCAUUCGUGGUUGCUGUUGUUGCUCUUCAUUGAGUGUCAAUGGUGCCUCGAGAUUUUACUUUGAAAAAAUUAGAGUGCUCAAAGCAGGCUGUGAUGCCUGAAUAAUGGUGCAUGGAAUAAUAGAAUACGAUCUCGGUUCUAUUUUGUUGGUUUUCGAACCGGAGAUAAUGAUUGAAAGGAACAGACGGGGGCAUUCGUAUUGCUGCGUUAGAGGUGAAAUUCUUGGAUCGCAGCAAGAUGAACAAUUGCGAAAGCAUUUGCCAAGAAUGUUUUCAUUAAUCAAGAACGAAAGUUAGAGGUUCGAAGGCGAUCAGAUACCGCCCUAGUUCUAACGGUAAACUAUGCCAACCAGCGAUUCGCCGAAGUUCAUUUAAGACUCGGCGAGCAGCUUCCGGGAAACCAAAGUGUUUCGGUUCCGGGGGAAGUAUGGUUGCAAAGCUGAAACUUAAAGGAAUUGACGGAAGGGCACCACCAGGAGUGGAGCCUGCGGCUUAAUUUGACUCAACACGGGAAAACUCACCCGGCCCGGACACUGGAAGGAUUGACAGGUUGACAGCUCUUUCUUGAUUCAGUGGGUAGUGGUGCAUGGCCGUUCUUAGUUGGUGGAGCGAUUUGUCUGGUUAAUUCCGAUAACGAACGAGACUCUACCCUAUUAAAUAGUGACAGUAUUGUAUUUUUUGUGCUGAUCACUUCUUAGAGGGACUGGCAAAUUGAAAGCUGCACGAAAAAGAGCAAUAACAGGUCUGUGAUGCCCUUCGAUGUCCGGGGCUGCACGCGCGCUACAAUGAAAGCGUCAACGUGAGUUACGUCCUUACCUGAAAAGGUUUGGCAAUCGAAUGAAACGUUUUCUUGAAUGGAAUAGGGAAUUGCAAUUGUUUCCCUUGAACGAGGAAUUCCCAGUAAGCGUGAGUCAUUAGCUCGCGUUGAUUACGUCCCUGCCCUUUGUACACACCGCCCGUCGCUACUACCGAUUGGAUGAUUUAGUGAGGUGUUUUGACUGGCGCCAGUAGUCGGAUAUGUAUUCGGCUUCGCGCCGGGAAAUUUCCCAAACCAAAUCAUCUAGAGGAAGUAAAAGUCGUAACAAGGUUUCCGUAGGUGAACCUGCGGAAGGAUCAUUA
rnacentral:rRNA from 1 species